UCUGAGGAUAACUGCAGGGAAACAGGACCCCAAGCAGGAUGCUCAGUAGGUGAAUCGCAUCUUUUGUGAGUAGCCCAGUUUGUCCAAGUUAGGAUGGCAGGCCAGCUGCACCAUUGGGGGUGGCCCACAGAGCAGCAGCAGCACGUCGUCCCCUGGGGCGGGCAGGUGCUCCCGGAUCAUGUCAGCAGUCACGAAGCCCUUACUGUAGGCCCAGUCUGAAGUAGAGAAGAGAGGAGAGGGCAGAUACUCCAGACUCUCGCUGGCAAGGGGGCAGGAUACGAGAAAGUGGGGAGGGGUGAAUCCUGGGUAAAGCCCCCUGAGAAGGCAUCAAAUGGUAGCAGCAGCUAGGUGGGAAUGCCUGGUCAGCUCCAGCUGCACAGCCGUCCCCACCAGCCCCGGAAAACAGGGACCAGAAGGAAGGGGCCAGGAGAGCACUAGGUCUGUGCACUCACACUUGGGAGUUUGGCAGUGGCACUGGUGAUCGGUUUCACUGAAGUCAGAACCCCCAGGGGCGGGGGGGAGGCCCUGAUUUGGGGACAUCCCGAAAUGGGGAGGGUACCUUCUGGGGGGUGAUCCAGAGUGAACCAGAGCUUGAAUCGAUUGGGAUAUCGGGCCUGCAGCUCCUCCAGGUCCUCCCGCAAGAUUAUGUCCUUUUCGGUCUGAAAGGGGGAAGCAGGGGAUCCCUGGGUGGCUCAGCGGUUUGGCGCCUGCCUUUGGCCCAGGGCGUGAUCCUGGAGUCCAGGGAUUGAGCCCCGCGUCAGGCUCCCAGCAUGGAGUCUGCUUCUCCCUCCUCCUGUAUCUCUGCCUCUCUUUCUCUCUAUGUCUAUCAUAAAUAAAUAAAUAAAUAAAUAAAUCAAUAAAUAAAUCAAUAAAUCAAUCUAUCUUUAAAAAAAGGUGGGGGGGAGCAAAGUCUUAGGAACCUCCUCAGGCCCACAGAAGAAAAGGCUCUCUGCUGUAAUGAGCUUCCAACCCGGAGAGAAAUAGAAAGUUCUAGGAAUAAGCAAGACUUUUAGAGAGGUAGCAUGAGGGGAAGGACAGGGGAAGAGGCUUUAUCUACACACUCUGAAGAAGAAAGAUGGACUAUUUAACAGGGGAAAUCCAAGGAGCAACCUUCGACAGCUAGAACUAGGUUCCUUAACUGUUCUCUUUUCAUUUUCCCUUAGGGGCCAGGGAAGGAUUUUGCUCAAUGCUCUGUCUUCCUUGCGGCAGAAAAGGGUCCUGUGCCGUGCAGGGGGACCUCGGGCAGAGGCCGCAACAGGCACUGGAGCAGCUCUGCCUGCUGGGGCCACAUCGCUCCGCCUGCCUCCGCCACCACUCUGAAGACUGAGGCCUGACCACCCUAAUCCUGUCCUCCUGUGCGUCCUGCAGCACUGACAUUGCUUGACCCCACACUCACCUUCAUAGGCGAACUGUGGUCAUGCUCACUAUUCACCUAAGAUCAUGCCGUUGAGAUCCCUCUAAGGAACCAAUAUCAGACUCUUCCUCUGAACGUCUAUUGGAGGCUAGGACUCACAUGACUACCUACUGAUUCAACAAUGAAGGUUCUGGAACACUGGGCUUAUGGGUUCAGUGCAUGGGCUUUGGAACUGGACAGAGCUAGAUACUAAUCCUGCCUCCGGAUGUUAUUAUUUAACCCUGUGGAAACCAUUCCGCCUCUCUGAACCUCCACUGUUUUCAUCUGUAAAAGGGAAAAACUAACAUCUGCUUCAUAGAUACGGAUAUAAAGAUGCAGCAGAGAUGCAGCCGGUCAUGGGGAACCGGAGAAGCAGGCCCUCGCCAGACAGCGCGACCGCCAGCACCUCCGCCAGCACCUCCGCCAGCACCUCCGCCUUGGACUUCGCAGCCUCCAAAACGGUGAGAACUAGAUUCCUGUUGUUUACCAGCCACUCAAUCUAUGGAUUCCAUUACUGCAGCCCAGACGCUAGGCCCGGGGUCUGGAUCUGGCCCCGCGGUUCCAGCACGGUCAAGGUCCCAGCGCAGAGGGCUGCUGUCACCCUACGCAGGCGAGACCUCCCUCAAGGAGAGAGCUCGCAGUGUGAUGCUCUCCCGCUGAUAGUGCCCCAAGGUGGCCCCUUCCCCCUCUGUGGCCUCUGAACCCCGAGGACGCGGUCUCGUCUCUGCCCCACUCCCACCGCGCCACCUCCCUUGAGUACCCCAAGAAGUCACACCAGGGUGAUCGCACAUCUCGCCUGUCGGCCGUGUGGGUUCCCAUCUGCGGUUCUAGCGUGAGUCUCAGGAGCCCUUCCGUUCCCCGAAGUGCCCGGGAUAAUAAGCACACGGCGGCUGCUCAGAAGGAGUAGGCCUGGAGCUCAGCUUUAUUGGCGGGCGGCCGAGCGGGUUGGGGCGGGCCCGGCGUCCUCCCCGGAGGCCGCGGGCUCGGUGUCCGCCUCCUCGGGCCGCGUCCAGACCCUGAUCUGCCUGACCAGCAGCCAGGGCUCCUGGGGCAUCAGCACGAGCAGCCGCAGGCAGCUCAGGCGCGCCUCGGAGAACACGGCCUGGUCCAGGCGCCCGGCCACCAGCGGGCCCAGCAGGGAGUGGCGGCCACAGUGGCCCGCAACCCACGGCCCGAGGCCCAGCUCCACGCGACCCUGGUGCAGUAGGUGCAGCCCGUGCGGCUCGGAGCCUGUCAGCACUGCCACGCGGGCUACCCUCUGCGGCCUGUCCCAGGCCACGGCCAGGUAGUUGCCCCGCACGGGGCUGAGCACGGAGUAGCACUCCUUGUUCAGGACGUAGGCCACCUGGGGCGGGGCGCUCCCCGCGGCCAUCAUGUCGCUGAGGACAGUGGCGGCUGGGUUGUCCGGCUCCCCGGACGCCUCCUCCUCCUCUUCCUCCUCCUCCCCUGGGGGCGCGCAUGGGUCCCCAGCCGCCGAGCCCCGGCCCGAGCCGUGGAAGACCGCCGGGUUGAAGCGGAUCGGGGCGUCCUGGGCCAGGAGAAGACGGAACUCAGAGAGGAGCGAGGGGAUGGGAAGGUCGGCGGGGAACAGGAGAAGGGAGGCCAGGCGGCCCAGGUCCCCGGCGUGCACGACCUUCCCCGAGAGGCGCAGGCCCGAGAACUCCAGGACGGCCCAGGGAAGCGCUCUCCAGGCCCACAGGACCCGGGAGACGCUGGAAAUGAAUUCGGGGCUGCAGCGAACGCGAUCUCCCAUCACCAGAAAGUAUUCGGACAGGUUGUGAGCGAAGUUCAUGAGGAGCGCGUAGCUGGCCCUGUGCCCGGCCCACCGCGCCCCGCAGGCCGAGCCGCGACUCGGGGAGCCCGGGUGUCCCGGGCCCGGGGCCCCCCCGAGGCCACCGCCGAUCACCAGCAGCCUCCCGGCUUCAAUGUGGCGCCCGAAGAGCCCCGAGAUGUUGGCAGUCGUCUGGCCGAGCCACGCGGGGUCACCCCCUGACAGGUGCACCAGCACCAGCACGUUGUCCAGCUCGGCUUCUGACGAGGCCUGGAAAAGGGACCGCAGGGUGUCCAGCAGGUAGGUCCCGCGCGGGCCCCACUCCGAGGCGAUGCCGGCCACCAGCAGCCCUGGGCGGGACGGGGGCCUUAGGGCCUCUCCUCUCGCCCCCCUAAAUGCCACGCCCAAGGCAGGUUGACACCCUUUCCCAGGGACAGCGUGUCCGCACCUGGUGCCCAUCUGUGGUUACAGGUUGCGGAGGGGCCUCACUUGGUCACGACUUUCAAAGGCUGGUGGCGGGAACUAGGACAGGCCUGUUUGAUGGCGGAGGCUGCCGUGUGCCAGAGGCCGGCUAGCCAGGCUUUGGCCCCAGAGCUCCCUGGCCGUGGCGGUCACGGGCGGACUAGGGGGUCUCGGGAGCUUGGCCGGGGAGCAGCUGCUCGGUGCACCGCCCUUGUCUUCCCGCACCUGGCGCCCCCUCGGCGCUGCCUCUCCCGCGGCCUCCGGCCUCCACGGGCCAGCCUGCACCCCUCCACGCCUUGCUCGCGGGGCGUGGCCGCCCCCGGCACAGCCUGCUUUCCUCACCGGUUGCCAGCCCGCUUCCCUCUUGUCGGGGUGCCCCGGGGCCCCCCAGGCGCCCCACACUCACUCCUUCCCUGCGGAGGGGAUCCAGCCAGGAGCCGGUAGGUGGCCUGCUGGAGGACAGGGGCGGCUUCCCGCAUGUCCUUGAAGGCCGCCAGGUGGUCCCUGCUCUCAGAGCCGAGUUGCUCCUGAUUGAGCCGCCACAGCAUUUUCUUCUUUUCCUCCUGCUGAGGAUGAGAUGACUAUCAGCCCCGACGCCACCCUGACGCCCCGGGACCCUCAGGGGCACACCCCUCCUUUAGGACAGCGGGGAAAGCCCGAGUGGAGUGUCAGGGCUCAGCUGGCCGCUAGCCCCACCUCUACGUGAGGACACAGGGGACUCUCCAGUAGGGGCGCGGGCCCUGCAAUCAGGCUGGAAGCAGGGGUACCUGUCGGGGUUCUAGAGCCCUCUGGGGGGACUGCCUGCCCGCCGCGCCUCACAUCUAGGUCUUCCCGCGUUGGCGGGCUGGCGAAGGGCGCCCAGCCGGGCUUAGGCCGCGAGUGCCCCGGCAGGGCUGAGACCCCACAGCGCCUGCACCCCAGAGCUGGCCCUUGUCGCCCCGACACGCGGCAUCCCUGCACCCCUGCCCACCUCCGCCCAGGCCGGGCCCCAGCCGCCCUGAGGCAUUAAGGAGAACGCGGACGCCCAGAACCUGGCGCGCCCGGUGGUGAACGUGGUCCUGCCCUUGCACAGGUGGCCCGCAUGGGGGAGGGCACUUCAGGGCGUCUCAGGCCCUUCAUACAAGAAGCGGGAUGAGUGACAUCCUGGACGCCAGGCUGCGGUGCGGCCCGGGGCCCGUGGUCCCGCCAGUCGGCCUGCUUUCCCAGACGUGUCUACGCGUUGCCCUUGCCACACUUCAACCGCCCUCUCUUCCUCCUUUUGCCUUUAUUCACAUUUUACACAUCUUUCAAGGCUGGCUCAAUAUUUAUCUUUCCUCGGAUACACUCCUGACCAUCCAUGUGCCCUCUUAGAACCUCCGAGAACGAGUGUUGGUGUGAGUGGAAAACCCCGCUCCCCCGAGGGAUCCCCGAACAGUCCGACGCCCGUGUCCGGUCCUCACCAACGAUGGGUUCUCCGUGAGAUGCUCUUCCUCGUUCUCUUGGAGGAGGAAGCUCAGGACGACGAGGGGCACAGCAGCUAUGACACAUCCCCACGGGCGGCCGCGCAUGCUGCGGGGCCUGGAGCAGCUCUGCCAACAAAUGCGAGCAGGACAGGACUCCCGAGCGCCCCGGCCUCCCCUGGCCUCUAGCCCCCCACUUCCUUUCCCCUCUUCCCUCCUCCCAGACCCGAGGCCCAAUCAUCUCAGUUACCUUCACUCCCCCACUUCAGCCCUCCCCUCCCCCGCCCCGCAGCCGUCCAAGGAGACACAAAGGCCAAGGAGUCUGAUUCUACCCCACUCCUACUUUCUUCACCUCCUGUUUGGGUUUCCAGGCGAAAUUGGAGUAGUGCCUUCAGUUUAUCAGCCCUUAGAGACCCGACCAGAGAGGCUGUGUUGUCAAGAUGAGGAAAUGAGGGGUUAAGCCUUAACCAUAUUCUCCCUAAACCCCAAAUCCAAGUCACAGUCUCUGCUUGGAUGCCGCGGGUGAAUACUCCGAGUCCUGUCUCUUAGUUGCCCGUUUACCUCUGUCCCGAACCCCACCCCCCCGCCCCCCGGUGAUGUUACGUAGAUGACGAUGUUUGAGUCAAGUCAGAGGGACCAAGGGAAGCCCUUGCUAGUCUAUCUCCCCCCAUCCUGAACGGGUAAGCAGGAUGCAAACCUAAAAAGUGACCAGAAAUUUCUAAUCCUGUGCAAGUCUUUGCCACGUUUGGAGCGCUGCAGCCAUGUGGGCUUUUUGUCUAACAGAAGGUAUGGCUCGGGGGUCUGUCAGGGAGUGGAAUUUCUCUGAAAUCAAGGAGAAAAUACCUUAAUAUUUCUGUGUCUGCAGGAUGGGGGUCCUAGAGUGGCUCCUCUGAGGUAGCAGAAACUGGUCACCUCUCCCGGGAGACCCUGCUUGACAACCAUUGUCCCCCCUGAAUGGGCACUGGUUACCCCUCCGGCCUCACAUCCAGCACCUGUUUCUGGGACCCGGAUGGCACUUGGGGUUCGUCCUGGCUCUCCCCGCGCCGCCCCCCACCGGCCUUGGCAUCAGGCAAGAGGCAGGUGCGGCCUCUGCGAAGAGAAGCACAGAACCGAAUGACCCCGUCUCUGACCAGGUCGGCUUUCUAGUUAUGGAAACCAGAACCCGCAUUUAGGAGUCUUGAUGCCGGGGUGUUUUAAGCAGAAAUCCACGUGGACGUCGGCUUCGUUAAUUUUUUUGCGGCCAACGCCGUGAAAGGAAAAGGCUCGGUGCUCAGCAGCUGCGUUUUGAACCUGACAACAAACGCGCGUUACGUACACGUGGGAAAAUUAUUUCAAGCACUUUUUCUCUUAUUUUUUUUAAAGAUCUAUUUUUAUUUAUUUAUGAUAGACAUAGAGAGAAAGACAGAGAGGCAGAGACACGGGCAGAGGGAAAAGCAGGCUCCACGCAGGGAGCCCGACGCGGGACUCGAUCCCGGGACUCCAGGGUCACGCCCUGGGCUGCAGGCGGCGCCAAACCGCUGAGCCACCCAGGGAUCCCCCAGUUUCUCUCAGUGGACAGCCCGCUAGACCUCUGUGUUCAGCUAGACCAGGGCAGCUCGCGGGUAGGAGCCGCCCCGCCGGGCUGCCCCGGCCUUCUCCUCCCCUGCCCC